CCCAAUGGCAGAUCUCCCCCCAUAGCCGCUCUAUCUCCCCCAUCUCUAUGAUCCCACCAUUGACCCCAAUGGCAGAUCUCUCCCCAUAGCCGCUCUAUCUCCCCCAUCUCUAUGAUCCCACCAUUGAUCCCAAUGGCAGAUCUCCCCCCAUAGCCGCUCUAUCUCCCCCAUCUCUAUAGUCCCACCAUUGACCCCAAUGGCAGAUCUCCCCCCACAGCUUCAAUGGCGACGGUCCUCCAGCCCCGGGAACCAGCGGCCUCCAACAUGGCCGCCAUCAUGGCCGCCACUCUGGCUCUCUGCCUCCUCCCUUCCGCCUCUCACGGGGACCGCCAUCACCAGGAGGACUUCCGCCAUCACCGGGAGGACUUCCGCCAUCACCGGGAGGACUUCGGCCAUCACCGGGAGGACCUCGGCCAUCACCGGGAGGACCUCGGCCAUGGUCAGCACCAGCUCCAUGUGGACAGCGGCCACGGCCACACCUUGACGGCCAUGUUUAGUCGUGGGCACCAACACGAAGACCCCCAGCAUGGACACUCACAUGGGGACCCCCACCAUGGGGACCCCCAUAGGGACCCCCACUAUGGCCAUGGGGACCCCCACCAUGGCCAUCAACAUGGGGACCCCCAUACGGACCCCCAUUAUGGCCAUGGGGACCCCCAUAGGGACCCCCAUUAUGGCCAUGGGGACCCCCAUACGGACCCCCAUUAUGGCCAUGGGGACCCCCAUAGGGACCCCCACCACAGCCAUGGGGACCCCCAUAGGGACCACCACCAUCAACAUGGGGACCCCCAUAGUGACCCCCAUCAUGGCCAUGGGGACCCCCAUAGGGACCCCCAUCAUCAUCAUGGGGACCCCCACCAUGGCCAUCAACAUGGGGACCCCCAUAGAGACCCCCACCACAGCCAUGGGGACCCCCAUAGGGACCCCCACCAUCAACAUGGGGACCCCCAUAGGGACCCCCACCACAGCCAUGGGGACCCCCACCAUGGCCAUUCACAUGGGGACCCCCAUAGGGACCCCCACUAUGGCCAUGGGGACCCCCAUACGGACCCCUACUAUGGCCAUGGGGACCCCCAUCAUGGCCAUCAACAUGGGGACCCCCAUAGGGACCCCCACCAUCAACAUGGGGACCCCCAUAGGGACCCCCAUCAUCAACAUGGGGACCCCCAUAGGGACCCCCACCACGGCCAUGGGGACCCCCAUCAUGGCCAUCAACAUGGGGACCCCCAUCAUGGCCAUCAACAUGGGGACCCCCAUAGGGACCCCCACCACAGCCAUGGGGACCCCCAUCAUGGCCAUGGGGACCCCUACCAUCAUCAUGAGGACCCCCAUCAUGGCCACCACCAUGGGGACCCCCAUAGAGACCCCUACCAUGGCCAUGGCCAUCAACAUGGGGACCCCCAUCAUCAACAUGGGGACCCCCACCAUGGCCACAGCCACCACCAUGGGGACCCCCAAGUUCCCCCCCCAUCAGCUCCCAGUCGCCCGGACACUCUGACCCUCUGGAUUCAGGUGAGC
rnacentral:lncRNA from 1 species